UGCCAGGGCUCGGGGCCCGCCCUUGGCCGGCCUGCAGCCCUGGCGCCCAUUUCCCGGAGUGCUGGACCCAGCGACCUUUCCGGCGGCUACACUCUGGAAAACAGCCAGGUGAGCCCCCAGAAGGCGUGACCCCAGUGUCCCCCGCCAAACCCUGGCCUCUUUCCGGCCCCUUCUGCACCGAGGCUUUUCACUGUUGCCUGGGUGCCUACUGUGUGCAGGCCGGAGCUGGAGGCACGGAGCUCCGGAGAUUCAUGGGGCUGGAUUCUGCGGGAUAAGUCCACUUGUUGCAGAAUCCCAAGACGAAAGUGUGUAAUUAGGGAGAUUUAGCGGAGUCAACGACGGCUGGAGCUCACCAGGAGCUAAAGAAAACAUCUGUGCUUCACAUCUGCCCCUGGAUGUGUGAACUCCAUACAGCCCAGUCCCUGCUGGCUAAUCUCCCAGGAUCUGAGUGGGAAGAGAGCCUGGGAGAAGAUGGACCUCACCUCAGGUUACAAAAUAGGAUUAGCUGCUUUUCACAGCAGAAAAUCCCCAAAUGACAGUGGUUACAACAGGACACUUUUCUCUUUCUCUGCCGUAUGAAAUCCAGAGGCAGGCCAUGAAGGUCAUGACUCUAUGAGAACAGCUCAGCCUAUUUCUGUUCUGUUACCCCAGUGUGAAGCCCUCAUGCUCAGUGUCGACUGCAGCUGCUGAGGCCCUGACCCAUCUCAUCAGCACUUCCAUGAUCAGAGCGGAAGAAGAAAGGAGCCAGUAAUGCCUUCCUCUUAAAGAUUCAGUUCUUCAAAUCUCUUUACAGUUUUCACUUAUGACGUCAUAUGACCACACUGAACUGCAAAGGAACCUGGAAAUUGUUUUGUAUUUUAGUUGGAAAACAAGUCUCUCGGGUAAAAUGGAAGGCCCUGUUAAUAAAGGAGAGGAAAAUGGGGACCCAGCUCGGUGGUAGAGAGCUUGCUUAGCACACACAUGGCCCUGGGUCCCAUCCCCAGCAAUCUAGAAAACUGACCAAGAGGAUGCUACACAGCGGGAGGGAACAAACCCCUUCUGUUCCAUCAAACGGCCUGGCGCAUUGAGGAGGGCAGGAAGAGAGUGUGGCAGCAGGAAGCCCGACACUGGUGUCCAAGUGACUUCUCUCAUUCUGUGUCUUUGAGUCUCUUGGUAACUAAGAAGAAAAAAAUAAGAGGACAAGCCAGGAAGGGGGCAUUGGUGUGAACGACUCACCAAGGAAAUGGGGAGAGGCAUACUCCUGAGCCCUUAUGAGCACGUGAUGGGGUCUCCUAUCAUGGUGGGGAAAGUCUCAUUUUGUCUGUGCCUACCGUGAAAAGAGCCCUGGUUGACCAGUUGUUCCUCAGAGAACUAGUCAGUCAUCCCUUCAAAUGGCAGUCUGCCCUCCACCUCUGGGUGUUCAGGGGAGCCUGGUUCCUCCAACUCCUGAGCCUUUGGGGAGCUCAGCAAGUCUGUCUCAGUGGCUCCCUGGAGCAUCUUGGUCUCAGGCCCUGGGUUCCUUGUCCACAUCCAUCCAUCAUUGGUUCUAUAGCAUCCACAGUUUAGUUGAUUCUUCCUGUCUGCUCUUAUCACCUCACAGGGUGUCAUUGUCCCAGUCAGUGGAUGUGUGUGUUGUGUGUGUGUCCUUGUCAUUCUCUCAGAAUCACAGAAAAUGGUGACAUUAGGUAAGUGAUGGCAGUCGGCCAUAGCUAGCCAGUAUAUGGCUUAUGCUCUUGCCUGGGGAAACCUCAAGGCUCGAGGACAUUCUAUGGUGUUCCCAGCCUGGCUGCCCCUUCCUUAUUUAGCUCUGGAAGCCCUUAGUGCCUCAAAACUUUGUCUCUGCACCUGAGCAGAGCUGCAUCUCAGCUCUGGCCUGUACCCCUGCUAAAGGGCAGGACCUAACUAUUCUUCCUUGAACCUGAACGGGAUUGGGCAGGCCCUAAGCUGCUGGAUAUGAGUUCCUGGCCUAGUUCACUCCUUAGAUGUCAGUUUGAUCUUUGGUGAAUUAGACUCAAAGGUGGGGCUGAGAAUGUUAUUUCUAAAUUGGAAUGCUGGAAUGCUAGAGUUGAUCUCCUUCCAGAGGUGUGUUCCCACUGGAGUAUGGAUGAAGUCUGGUGUCAGUCCCCCUGGGGAGCCUGCAAGAGCAUUGCCUGUUCUUAAGAGCCAGGGGUAAUGGUAUACACUCACAGCACAUGGGAGACUAAGGCAGGGGUAUCAUGAGUUUGAGGGAAUCCUGAGUUGCAUAGCAAGAGUCUGUCUCGAAAAAUUAAAACUUGUGGACUGUGGUACAGAUAGCAUGUGUCUUCAGACCCCAGAAACCCCCAGUGGCCUUCUGUGAUUCUUAUGGGAAGAGGUGAAGAACUAGGUGGGCAGCCUUCCCAGACUAGGGAGUUUCCUGAGGUGCAGGGCUUUCAAUGCUAAAAGCAACGUGGUGCCAUGGAAAACCAGAACUGCUGAUGACCACCAGGAGUGCCAUCUUGGGGGUGGCCAUGUGGCUUAAAAGCUUACUCUCUGGGGCUUAGGGAGAUGACUUAGUUGAUGAAGUGCCUUCUGUAUAAUCAUGAAGACCUAAGUUCAAUUCCCAGAACCCACAUCAAAUUGUGCCUACAGUCCCAGCACUGGGGAGGCAGAGACAGGAGGAUCCCUGGCAAAUCCUUGUUUGCCAGCUCAUCUGGCCCAGUUCAUGAGCUUCAGGUCCCAGGAGAGAUUGUCUCAAAAACUAAGGUAGAGCAUGAUUGAAGAUGUCCAACAUUCACCUCUGUCCUUCACAUGCUCAUCCACACUCCCUUCCUUACACAGAGGCACACACACACACAAGCACACACACACAUACAUGAGCACACACUGAGACAUAUGCAAGCAUACACACAAGCAUACGCAAACAUUCAUACACACACACACACACACACACACACACACACACACACACUGCUUACUGUCUGUGGUCACACACAUCUCCCCACCACAUGUCACCUAGCAUUUUUAUGACAAAUGCUGGAGAUGUCCAGAGUGGGCUCUGGAAUCAGGGUGCCAGGUCCAGUCCUCAGCUCUAGCCAUCCCCACCUCUGUCUCUUCAGACACAUCAUUUCGAUUCACUUCUGCUCCAUUUUCCUCAUCUACAGAAUAAGUGUAUAAUCCAAGUUCCAUGUCAAUGGGUGACUAUAAGAAUUAAGUGACUCAGUGGAUGCAAGUCCCUUCCAAUGCUGUCUGUCAUCCAGCCAGAGGGCCACACCCUUUAUGGAAAUAUGAAGAAAACUAUCUGCAUUUCCCAGCAGGCCUUGGGAUAGUGGACACAGCCUCCUGGAUUCUAAAGUCUGAUUAUAUAAUUAAUCUGAACCUUGAGCCAUUUCAGCCCAGUUCCUUGUAAACAUGCUGACACCAUCAGAAUAUGAAUAAUUAGGAGAAUAUCUCGUUCUCACUUAUCACUAGAACUACUUGGAACGUGUAAGUGAGCUAUGACUAAUCUGUUCUUGUUGAUCAAAGCAAUAAACAAACAACCAGGGCAAA